UCUUAUGCCGGGUUUGAAAUGCAG
rnacentral:piRNA from 1 species